GGCAGCAGUGGGGAAUUUUCCGCAAUGGGCGAAAGCCUGACGGAGCAAGACCGCGUGGGGGAGGAAAGCCUUUGGGUUGUAAACCCCUUUUCUCAGGGAAGAAGAAAGUGACGGUACCUGAGGAAUCAGCCUCGGCUAACUCCGUGCCAGCAGCCGCGGUAAUACGGAGGAGGCAAGCGUUAUCCGGAAUGAUUGGGCGUAAAGCGUCCGUAGGUGGCUGUUCAAGUCUGCUGUUAAAUCCAGUAGCUUAACUACUGACAAGCAGUGGAAAUUGAAGAGCUCGAGUGCGGUAGGGGCAGAGGGAAUUCCUGGUGUAGCGGUGAAAUGCGUAGAGAUCAGGAAGAACACCGGUGCCGAAAGCGCUGCUGCUCGGCGCCCCAACUGACACUCAGGGACGAAAGCUAGGGGAGCGAAUGGGAUUAGAUACCCCAGUAGUCCUAGCUGUAAAUGAUGGAGAGCUAGAUGUUGCCUGUAUCGACCCGGGCAGUGUCGUA
rnacentral:rRNA from 1 species